GAUGAACGCUGGCGGCGUGCCUAAUACAUGCAAGUCGAGCGAACGGACGAGAAGCUUGCUUCUCUGAUGUUAGCGGCGGACGGGUGAGUAACACGUGGAUAACCUACCUAUAAGACUGGGAUAACUUCGGGAAACCGUAGCUAAUACCGGAUAAUAUUUUGAACCGCAUUGUUCAAAAGUGAAAGACGGUCUUGCUGUCACUUAUAGAUGGAUCCGCGCUGCAUUAGCUAGUUGGUAAGGUAACGGCUUACCAAGGCAACGAUGCAUAGCCGACCUGAGAGGGUGAUCGGCCACACUGGAACUGAGACACGGUCCAGACUCCUACGGGAGGCAGCAGUAGGGAAUCUUCCGCAAUGGGCGAAAGCCUGACGGAGCAACGCCGCGUGAGUGAUGAAGGUCUUCGGAUCGUAAAACUCUGUUAUUAGGGAAGAACAUAUGUGUAAGUAACUGUGCACAUCUUGACGGUACCUAAUCAGAAAGCCACGGCUAACUACGUG
rnacentral:rRNA from 1 species